UUUGGAAUCAUCCCAAUCACCCCAUCUAAAGGCAUAGAUAUUCUAAAGUAGUAAUCUAAAGAUAAAUUAAAUAAGCGAUUGCACAUAAUAAUAUCAAACAGAAGACAAGCAAAACACAACAAUCAUUUAAAGCAAAUAUAACACAAAACCACUAAAAUAUAGUAGAGUAUUUUUUGUAUUUCCUCAUUGUCUCACUCAUAUGAGUUUUGAGGAAGCAAGUGACGCAACGUGAUGGAAUGGGUGCACAUUUUCAUAGUCUAGCGAUGGAAUGAGACUAUACGGCGGUGAGAGUCUUUCAUGAAGACUCCAUUUAACUCCCGAAGUGUUCAUGCAAAUAAAAAGAAAGGAAAGAG
rnacentral:lncRNA from 1 species